AUUGAACGCUGGCGGCAGGCCUAACACAUGCAAGUCGAGCGAGCGGCGGACGGGUGAGUAAUGUAUGGGGACUGCCCGAUAGAGGGGGAUAAAUACUGGAAACGGUGGCUAAUACCGCAUACUAUCGGAUAACCCAUAUGGGAGUAGCUAGUAGGUGGGGUAAAGGCUAACCUAGGCGACGAUCUCUAGCGGGUCUGAGAGGAUGAUCAGCCAAAUGGGGACUGAGACACGGCCCAGAUUCCUACGGAGGCAGCAUUGGGGAAUAUUGCACAAUGGGCGCAAGCCUGAUGCAGCCAUGCCGCGUGUAUGAAGAAGGCCUUAGGUUUGUAAAGUACUUUCAGCGGGGAGGCGUUACCCGCAGAAGAAGCACCGGCUAACUCCGUGCCAGCAGCCGCGGUAAUAC
rnacentral:rRNA from 1 species